GUUGAUAAGGUUAAGUGAAUAAGGGCGCACGGUGGAUGCCUUGGCACUAGGAGCCGAUGAAGGACGGGACUAACACCGAUAUGCUUUGGGGAGCUGUAAGUAAGCUAUGAUCCAGAGAUUUCCGAAUGGGGGAACCCAAUAUCUUUUAUAGGAUAUUACUUUUCAGUGAAUACAUAGCUGAUUAGAGGUAGACGCAGAGAACUGAAACAUCUUAGUAUCUGCAGGAAGAGAAAGAAAAUUCGAUUCCCUGAGUAGCGGCGAGCGAAACGGGAAGAGCCCAAACCAACAAGCUUGCUUGUUGGGGUUGUAGGACUCCAAUAUGGUAGUCUGUUAGUAUAGUUGAAGGAUUUGGAAAAUUCCGCUAAAGAGGGUGAAAGCCCCGUAGACGAAAUGCUAACAACACCUAGGAGGAUCCUGAGUACGGCGGAACACGAGAAAUUCCGUCGGAAUCCGCGGGGACCAUCCCGCAAGGCUAAAUACUCCCUAGUGACCGAUAGUGAACCAGUACCGUGAGGGAAAGGUGAAAAGCACCCCGGAAGGGGAGUGAAAUAGAUCCUGAAACCGUGUGCCUACAACAAGUCAAAGCUCGUUAAUGAGUGAUGGCGUGCCUUUUGUAGAAUGAACCGGCGAGUUACGAUUGCAUGCGAGGUUAAGUCGAAGAGACGGAGCCGCAGCGAAAGCGAGUCUGAAUAGGGCGAAUGAGUAUGUAGUCGUAGACCCGAAACCAUGUGAUCUACCCAUGUCCAGGUUGAAGGUGCGGUAAAACGCACUGGAGGACCGAACCCACGUACGUUGAAAAGUGCGGGGAUGAGGUGUGGGUAGCGGAGAAAUUCCAAACGAACUUGGAGAUAGCUGGUUCUCUCCGAAAUAGCUUUAGGGCUAGCCUCGGAAUUGAGAAUGAUGGAGGUAGAGCACUGUUUGGACUAGGGGCCCAUCUCGGGUUACCGAAUUCAGAUAAACUCCGAAUGCCAUUCAUUUAUAUCCGGGAGUCAGACUGCGAGUGAUAAGAUCCGUAGUCGAAAGGGAAACAGCCCAGACCACCAGCUAAGGUCCCAAAAUAUAUGUUAAGUGGAAAAGGAUGUGGGGUUGCACAGACAACUAGGAUGUUGGCUUAGAAGCAGCCACCAUUUAAAGAGUGCGUAAUAGCUCACUAGUCGAGUGACCCUGCGCCGAAAAUGUACCGGGGCUAAACAUAUUACCGAAGCUGUGGACUACACCAUUAGGUGUAGUGGUAGGAGAGCGUUCUAAGGGCGUUGAAGGUCGAUCGUGAGGACGGCUGGAGCGCUUAGAAGUGAGAAUGCCGGUAUGAGUAGCGAAAGACAGGUGAGAAUCCUGUCCACCGUAUGACUAAGGUUUCCUGGGGAAGGCUCGUCCGCCCAGGGUUAGUCGGGACCUAAGCCGAGGCCGAUAGGCGUAGGCGAUGGACAACAGGUUGAUAUUCCUGUACCAGUUGUUUUUGUUUGAGCAAUGGAGGGACGCAGUAGGCUAAGGAAUGCAUGCGAUUGGAAGUGCAUGUCCAAGCAAUGAGUCUUGAGUAGAGUUAAAUGCUUUACUCU
rnacentral:rRNA from 1 species